UGUCCAGUGACCAAAUCUGCAGAGAUCUGAAAAGACCUUUAGUGGUGGCGGUUGUAGGGAUCGAUUGUAGCCUGUAUGUAAGAGAAUAUAACGUAAUGCGAAGACAGUUUUGUGGAGAUUCCCAAAAUCCUACCAGAACAUCACACAGGAAGAAGCAAGCUAUGUUCCAUCACCCCCAACAGACAACAAAAAAAAAUGCACGUGUUGAGGAAUAUAGAUAUUUGAAGAAUAUAAAACUGCAACAAGUAAUUGAUUUUUCUUGUCUUACUAUCUUGCAUGAAGAACUUCAAAGCACUAGAAUUUCUACAGCAAAAUAAAAUGCAAUAUUUAAAUUACAAGGGCCAUACUUUAUCUCCUGGAUAUAUCCUUUGGAUUGUGUAAUGUCAAGUUAUUGACAAGUAAACAGAGAUGCCGGAGUAUUAAAACAAAGGCCUUUUGUGAACUGUACGAAGAGCAACUACAAGACU